AAGCUGUCACCUCUCUGAAUCGAGCCCCUGGUGAGCCGAGCUCUAGAACUUCAUAAAAUAAAAUCUCAUUGAAUGAGACACACCGAAAUUCGAAGUAAAUAAGAAAAUUUUAAGUUAAUUUUUUUUGCUUUUAUUAAAAUGUCAGAAUCUGACGAUAACACUGUAUCUACAUACAAACAUUUUAGUUUCACCAGUUUCUCAAAAAAAAAAGUAAAGAAACAAAAAACGGCGACAUCUGACGACCAAAACAAUGGAGAAACUCAAAUAGACCCCCUUGUUGUCAUGAAUGCUCCCGUAGUUUCCAUGGAAGAACAACAAAAGACUGAAAAAAAAUGCAAUAAACCAGUUAUGGAAUUGAAAGUUACAUUUCAAUAAAAUUUUCCAGGAUGUCGGUCUGUAAAUUGGAACACUAAAUUGUAAAUUGGAACAAAAUUUGUUGUAAAAACUUUUGAUAAUGUUAAACGUAAAAAUAUAAAUUUUGGCCAACCA
rnacentral:sRNA from 1 species